rnacentral:rRNA from 1 species
AGCCACGGCUAACUACGUGCCAGCAGCCGCGGUAAUACGUAGGUGGCAAGCGUUAUCCGGAAUUAUUGGGCGUAAAGCGCGCGUAGGCGGUUUUUUAAGUCUGAUGUGAAAGCCCACGGCUCAACCGUGGAGGGUCAUUGGAAACUGGAAAACUUGAGUGCAGAAGAGGAAAGUGGAAUUCCAUGUGUAGCGGUGAAAUGCGCAGAGAUAUGGAGGAACACCAGUGGCGAAGGCGACUUUCUGGUCUGUAACUGACGCUGAUGUGCGAAAGCGUGGGGAUCAAACAGGAUUAGAUACCCUGGUAGUCCACGCCGUAAACGA